GAUGAACGCUGGCGGCGUGCCUAAUACAUGCAAGUCGAGCGAAUGGAUUAAGAGCUUGCUCUUAUGAAGUUAGCGGCGGACGGGUGAGUAACACGUGGGUAACCUGCCCAUAAGACUGGGAUAACUCCGGGAAACCGGGGCUAAUACCGGAUAACAUUUUGAACCGCAUGGUUCGAAAUUGAAAGGCGGCUUCGGCUGUCACUUAUGGAUGUACCCGCGUCGCAUUAGCGAGUUGGGGAGGUAACGGCUCACCAAGGCAACGAUGCGUAGCCGACCUGAGAGGGUGAUCGGCCACACUGGGACUGAGACACGGCCCAGACUCCUACGGGAGGCAGCAGUAGGGAAUCUUCCGCAAUGGACGAAAGUCUGACGGAGCAACGCCGCGUGAGUGAUGAAGGCUUUCGGGUCGUAAAACUCCGUUGUUAGGGAAGAACAAGUGCUAGUUGAAUAAGCUGACACCUUGACGGUACCUAACCAGAAAGCCACGGCUAACUACGUGCCAGCCGCCGCCGUAA
rnacentral:rRNA from 1 species